rnacentral:rRNA from 1 species
GAAUCUUGCGCAAUGGGCGAAAGCCUGACGCAGCAACGCCGCGUGGGGGAUGAAGGCUCUCGGGUUGUAAACCCCUUUCAGCAGGGACGAAAUUGACGGUACCUGCAGAAGAAGCCCCGGCCAACUACGUGCCAGCAGCCGCGGUAACACGUAGGGGGCAAGCGUUGUCCGGAUUUAUUGGGCGUAAAGAGCUCGUAGGCGGUUCAGUAAGUCGGGUGUGAAAACUUAGGGCUCAACCCUGAGACGCCACUCGAUACUGCUGUGACUAGAGUCCGGUAGGGGAGCGUGGAAUUCCUGGUGUAGUGGUGGAAUACGCAGAUAUCAGGAGGAACACCAGCGGCGAAGGCGGCGCUCUGGGCCGGAACUGACGCUGAGGAGCGAAAGCGUGGGUAGCAAACAG